GCGGGAAGAGCUCAAAUUUGAAAUCUGGUAGCCUUCGGUUGCCCGAGUUGUAAUCUAGAGAAGUGUUUUCCGUGCCGGCCCAUGUACAAGUCCCUUGGAACAGGGCGUCAUAGAGGGUGAGAAUCCCGUCCUUGACAUGGACCCCCGGUGCUUUGUGAUACACUUUCAACGAGUCGAGUUGUUUGGGAAUGCAGCUCAAAAUGGGUGGUGAAUUCCAUCUAAAGCUAAAUAUUGGCGAGAGACCGAUAGCGAACAAGUACCGUGAGGGAAAGAUGAAAAGCACUUUGGAAAGAGAGUUAAACAGUACGUGAAAUUGUUGAAAGGGAAACGAUUGAAGUCAGUCAUGCUCUUGGGACUUACCUCCCUUGAGUGGGGUCAACAUCAGUUUUGAUCGAUGGAUAAAGGCACGGGGAAGGUAGCACUCUCGGGUGAACUUAUAGCCUCGCGUCAUAUACAUUGAUUGGGACUGAGGAACGCAGCAUGCCUUAUGGCCGGGAUUCGUCCACGUACAUGCUUAGGAUGUUGACAUAAUGGCUUUAAACGACCCGUCUU
rnacentral:rRNA from 1 species